rnacentral:rRNA from 1 species
UACGUAGGGUGCAAGCGUUGUCCGGAAUUAUUGGGCGUAAAGAGCUCGUAGGCGGUUUGUCGCGUCGGCUGUGAAAACCCGAGGCUCAACCUCGGGCCUGCAGUCGAUACGGGCAAACUAGAGUGUGGUAGGGGAGACUGGAAUUCCUGGUGUAGCGGUGAAAUGCGCAGAUAUCAGGAAGAACACCCGUGGCUAAGGCGGCUCUCUAGUACGGUACUGACGCUGAGACGCGAAAGCGUGGGGAGCGAGCAGG